AAUUUCAAAUAGAAUGCUUGAUUUGCCGCUUUAGGCGUUUAAAUAACGAAAUGUUUGGUCUAAUUUCAGAGAGAUCAAAAUCCCUUUAGAGAAAACUUUUAUCUUAAAAUAUACACUAUUUUAUUUAUUGUGAAACAGAUCCAAUGAAAGCAGCGUUUUUAGGUGUGAUUUAGUUUUAAAUUUUAGCGAAUUGAUACAUCUUAUUAGCUACAAAAAAAAUCAAAAGAGAAGCUGAAAGUAGCGGUGAGCGAAAUCAUAAAAAAAAUAACUUGUGGGUCUUUUAGCCUUUGUUUGAUAUUGUUUAUUAUAAUGUUUUAUUAUUUUUUUAUAGAAAAAUUUCGUUUUCUAACUUUUAGGCAGCAAAAUCAAUAGUGUAUUAGUAUUGAGAAGGAAAGCGCUUUGAAUUAAAACAAGGAAAAAAGUCAUGAUAAAUUUGAAAUUUUAGGUAUUCUUUUGUUUUAAACUAAUUACUUUUUGCAUAACGGUUUCAUUAUUUAAAAUAAAGGGUGAGCUUUGAAAAAAUUUAAAAGCUAAUAUUUCAGAACUUUAGAAUAGUUUUAAUCGUUUUUUUUAAACGCGAAGCCAAGCGAUCUAUUUAAGCGCUAGCUGAAAUUGAUUUAAACGUCAUAUGGAAGGCUUAACUCGUAUCUGUUGCAAUAGGUUGAGAUGACGCUUGAAUAGGAGUGAAAGGCUAAACAAGCUUGGUUAUAGCUUGAACUCUGCGAAAGCUAUUUUAGUAGCGCUUCUACUUAAAAAAUGGGGUAAAGCACUGGUUUCGUUUUGGGCGAUUUAAUACUCUUUCAAGCGUUCCCAAACUUUGAAUACAUUUUAGGCUGGGCGCUUUAAAAGCGUAAAAACCUAGUAGUGAGUUAGACUCUGAGCUACAAAGUUCAAAGUCGAAAGAGAAACAACUCAGAUCGUUUGAUAAGAUAUUAAAAUAUAAUUUUAAUAACUCGAAAGUUUUUGGCUUCCAUAAAAAGCUUUUUAGCGUUUAUUAUGUUAGGGUUGGCUUAGAAACAGCUAUCGUUUAAUGAAAACGUAAUAGUUCGAAUAAUUAGCUCAAAAAUCCUUAAAAUUUAAGAUUUUAAGUUCGUCGAAGCAGCGAGUAAUUUAACUAGAUUACGGUAGCAGAGCAUUUUGUAAUAGAAAAGCUGUGAAGCCAAAAUCAAUAAGGAUUCUGUGAAAAUUAGUAACAUCUAAAACCUAUAAUGGUUCGUUUUUAAUCUAAGCUUUUUUAUUUCUGUUUUGAGUUUAUUCGAUCCUUAAGUAUAAAACGAAAGUUUUCUGUGAUAGGCAUAAAUACCAUGAAAUAUUUGAAUUAGAAAUUCGUCAUUUGUAGCUUUGAAGGAUUCACCUUUUAUACAAAACUUGAUAGGUUAGCUAAUUUUUAUAAGCAAAUAAGGCUGCUGUACUUUAAGAGUAAAACGAGAGUGUAACUUUUAUAUUCGUAUUUCUAACUCCUAGUUAUUCUUCAGGAAAAAGUAAGGUUUAACUUAUUAUCGUAGCUUAUAAUCGCAUCAGGUAGAUCAAUAAAAAAUAUUAAAACGUAAAGAAUAAUAAAAGAUAAUGAACUCGGCAACAAAUCUUCGUAACUUUGGAAAAAGAAGAUAAGGCUUAAUAGAUACUUUUAAGCUUUAAUAGUAAACCAAUGAGCGACUUUUUACUAAAAAAUUAAAAUAACGCAAAUUUUAUUGAAAAAUGUAUGUUAUUUGAUUGGUUCUCAAUGUUUUAAUCUGAAAAAAUAAUGUUUUACGCAUUUUAAUCUAAGGAAAAGCAAAUAGGUGUCUUAUUUUGAGGAUAAUAAUGUAGCGAAAUUCCUUGGCUUUUAAUUGAAGUCCUGCAUGAAACCAUUAACGACUCAUUGACUGUUUCAUCUUUUAUUCUUGUGAAUUUGAAAUAAAGGUGAAGAUUCCUUUUUUCUAAAGUAAGACGAAAAGACCCUAUCAAUCUUUACUCAACGCUGAUGUUGCUUUUUUAAACUUAUUUGUUUAGUAAUAGAUAGUUCGUUUUUGUUUGUAACUCUUUUGAAAAACUAUCCUAUAUUUUACUUGAGCUAUUUUAUUUCUUUAAAAAUAGCGUUUGUGUGUGAGUUUAUCUGGGAUAGAUUCCUUUUAAAAAGUAAUAAAGGAAUACAAAGAUAACCUUAAUUAAGAUCUCUUAAUUUUGAGCGAAAAAGUAAAUGUUUGUUUGACUGUAAGGCAUAAAUUGUUUGAGCAGCUACUUUAGUAGGUUUUAUUGAUCCGUUAGUUUUGAACGAAAAAGCUAUCGCAUAAUAGAUAAAAGAUACUGUAGGGAUAACAAGAUAAUAAGAACCAAGCGAUCAAAGCGACGUUCUUGAUUGUUAUAUCGAUGUCGGGUGCGAUCUGUUGAGGUAAAGGUAAGAAACGUACUUACCGUAAAUUCGAUACUUUAAAGUAUUAACUGGUAGAUCAGAUGGGUAAUAAAAAGAACUCCCAUAUGUCUUGCUUCUAUAGACAUUGAUCAUACAUCCGUGCUUACAACACGGAGCGUCCCCAACGGCGACUGAGCCUAAAUCUCUUUCAAAGUGGAAGCGGGGGUAAAAGUAGAGGAGAUCGGUAUGUGUUGCCUUAAUCCCUAUUAGAACGAUUCCUUGUAGGUUUAUCGAAAGAGAACCAAUGUGAUAAAACGCCAUAAACGAUAAAUUCUGGGUCAUAACACAAUGCUACGGCGCCCAAGCUAACAGCGCCCAGGAGCCUGAAUAAAGGCAAUGUUUCAAAUUGUAAUCUUACUCCUAACGACCGGAGAUGAUAGGAGCUACAGAAACUGGCGUAAAGUUGGAGACCUACUUGGAUGUAUGAUUUACCGGAACAGAGUAAUCCACUAAUAAGCUCCAAUUGAAUACUUAAUUGGUGGGAUUUAGCUAUAAGCUAUUAGUGGGCGGGAUUCAGCAAGAAGCAAAUGGCUUUACGUAAUGUAAAGUAUACGCAGACGUGUUGAGCUCAAAGAAUAGGCUAUAGUGCCAUCUUUGAGUAGGAGCCGUAUGAGGUGAGAGUCUCACGUACGGUUUUGAAUUAGAGGGGUAGUUGGUAACAAAUACUUCGACUAUAACUUUAAAGCAUCCUGAUGAUGAAGGCGUUAUCAAGGGUUUAGCUGUUCGCUAACUAAGGCUUUCCAUGAACUGGGUUUAAAACGAUGUGAAUCAGUUUAGUUUCUAUCUGCUUGGUUUAUUAAGGUUUACGGUCGUUUCCGCUAGUAUGAGAAGACCGACGGAAAGAAAGCCCAUAGUUAAAACCCUUUAGGUUGUUUUGCCACGCUUUUAAUUGUUUAAAAACUGAAAGCAUUAACUUUUGAAACGUUGCCGCAACAACCUUAAAAUAGGUUUAAAACGAAAACUUUGAUCGGUCAAUAAUUAAGAUUUUUAGAUUUAAAAAAAUAAUUGAUAACGAAUGUUUUGAUUAAAACUUUUUAGCUUAAAAAUAACGAUAAUGAUAAGCG
rnacentral:rRNA from 1 species